rnacentral:lncRNA from 1 species
AUUGAAUAUACUACUACUUAUUUACUGACCUGGACAGACCGUCCACAAAACUGAAUGUUGUGAUGGAUUGUGUGAGUGGUCAAACAACGAUCGUCUAUGUAAGAGACUAAAACGACGUCAUUUUUGGAGAUCACAAACAGCCCCGUUUUAGGCUAAAAAAUAAAUAGAGGCUUGUUUACCUUUGGUCGGGAAAUGUGAAGAGGCAGAGGUGUGUAUGCCUCUGCCACUAGCCAGAAAGAAAGAAGAGGAGACCUAUACAUCGAGGAAGAAGGGUUG